UGUCAUAAAUAGCGGCGUUAACGUGAGCGUCCUAAGGUAGCGCGAUAAUUUGCCCUUUAAUUGGGGGAUGGUAUGAAUGGGUUAACGCGGGGGUUGCUGUCUCAUAAGAAAAAUNUUGAAGUUAACUUAAAGGUGAAGAGGCCUUUAUAAAUAAAAGGGACGACAAGACCCUAUGAAGCUUUACCUAGAAGGGAAUGAGACAUUUUCUGAUGGUUUUGAUGGGAGAUCAGUAAAAAUAGGUUCUUUGCUAUAAUAAAUUUCUUACAAGAAUUAGCUGUAGUUACAAGUAUGAUUAGCUACUCUAGGGAUAACAGCGCAAUUUUUCUCGAAAGAAGGKAUUGGAAGAAAAGUUUGCGACCUCGAUGUUGGCUUUAGAAUUCCAAAAGGCGAAGAAGCUUUUUAGGU
rnacentral:rRNA from 1 species